CUAUUAAUAUUAAUCUAGUCCUAGACUCCUAGUCGACCUAGUUAUUAAAACUGUCUACUGACUACUUUAGAAA